ACGAACGCUGGCGGCGUGCUUAACCCAUGCCAGUCGAACGAAGAGCGAUGGAAGCUUGCUUCUAUCAAUCUUAGUGGCGAACGGGUGAGUAACGCGUAAUCAACCUGCCCUUCAGAGGGGGACAACAGUUGGAAACGACUGCUAAUACCGCAUACGAUCUAAUCUCGGCAUCGAGGAUAGAUGAAAGGUGGCCUCUACAUGUAAGCUAUCACUGAAGGAGGGGAUUGCGUCUGAUUAGCUAGUUGGAGGGGUAACGGCCCACCAAGGCGAUGAUCAGUAGCCGGUCUGAGAGGAUGAACGGCCACAUUGGGACUGAGACACGGCCCAGACUCCUACGGGAGGCAGCAGUGGGGAAUCUUCCGCAAUGGACGAAAGUCUGACGGAGCAACGCCGCGUGAGUGAUGACGGCCUUCGGGUUGUAAAGCUCUGUUAAUCGGGACGAAAGGCCUUCUUGCGAAUAGUGAGAAGGAUUGACGGUACCGGAAUAGAAAGCCACGGCUAACUACGUG
rnacentral:rRNA from 1 species